rnacentral:rRNA from 1 species
GAUGAACGCUGGCGGCGUGCCUAAUACAUGCAAGUCGAGCGAACGGACGAGAAGCUUGCUUCUCUGAUGUUAGCGGCGGACGGGUGAGUAACACGUGGAUAACCUACCUAUAAGACUGGGAUAACUUCGGGAAACCGGAGCUAAUACCGGAUAAUAUUUUGAACCGCAUGGUUCAAAAGUGAAAGACGGUCUUGCUGUCACUUAUAGAUGGAUCCGCGCUGCAUUAGCUAGUUGGUAAGGUAACGGCUUACCAAGGCAACGAUGCAUAGCCGACCUGAGAGGGUGAUCGGACACACUGGAACUGCGACACGGUCCAGACUCCUACGGGAGGCAGCAGUAGGGAAUCUUCCGCAAUGGGCGAAAGCCUGACGGAGCAACGCCGCGUGAGUGAUGAAGGUCUUCGGAUCGUAAAACUCUGUUAUUAGGGAAGAACAUAUGUGUAAGUAACUGUGCACAUCUUGACGGUACCUAAUCAGAAAGCCACGGCUAACUACGUG